ACCGAAGCCCGUAACCGCCUCCGGGCGUGACGGGUGGCUGGUACCCUCCUUCUGAGGGGUGUAUGGCACAGCGUGGGGGCCGGUCUUCGGGCCGUGCAAUCCCAAUGUUGCGUCGGACCACUCCUUGGGCAACUCAGUGGGGGCAAUUGGAUAGCCCGUGGAUGCCUCUGGCGGCUUCGGCCCCGGGGGUAGCCUGGGCUGGGCGUUGGGCUUCGGUCCAUGCCCCGACCUAUUAACUAACCCUGACCCCCUCUUCAUUGAGGGUUGCCGGUGGCUCUUUGCCCUUCGGGGCAGAGUGGUCUCCCGGUUAAGAUAGUUACCUGGUUGAUUCUGCCAGUAGUCAUAUGCUUGUCUCAA
rnacentral:misc_RNA from 1 species